GUGGCUGUAGCUCAGUUGGUUAGAGCGUCCCCCUGUGGAGGGGAAGGUCGCGAGUUCGAAUCUCGUCAGCCACC
rnacentral:tRNA from 1 species